CGGGGCCCGCACAAGCAGUGGAGUAUGUGGUUUAAUUCGACGCAACGCGCAGAACCUUACCUAGGCUUGACAUCCCGGGAAUUUGCUGGAAACAGUGAAGUGCUUUCAUUAGAAAGAGCCCGGUGACAGGUGCUGCAUGGCUGUCGUCAGCUCGUGUCGUGAGAUGUUGGGUUAAGUCCCGCAACGAGCGCAACCCUCGCCUUUAGUUGCCAGCAUUCAGUUGGGCACUCUAAAGGGACUGCCGGUGUCAAACCGGAGGAAGGUGGGAUGACGUCAAGUCCUCAUGGCCUUUAUGUCUAGGGCUACACACGUACUACAAUGGCAGGUACAAAGGGCAGCGACACAGCGAUGUGAUGCGAAUCCCGAAAAGCCUGUCUCAGUCCGGAUCGGAGUCUGCAACUCGACUCCGUGAAGUUGGAAUCGCUAGUAAUCGUGGAUCAGCAUGCCACGGUGAAUACGUUCCCGGGCCUU
rnacentral:rRNA from 1 species